AUUGAACGCUGGCGGCAGGCCUAACACAUGCAAGUCGAGCGGAUGAAGGGAGCUUGCUCCUGGAUUCAGCGGCGGACGGGUGAGUAAUGCCUAGGAAUCUGCCUGGUAGUGGGGGAUAACGUCCGGAAACGGGCGCUAAUACCGCAUACGUCCUGAGGGAGAAAGUGGGGGUUCUUCGGACCUCACGCUAUCAGAUGAGCCUAGGUCGGAUUAGCUAGUUGGUGGGGUAAAGGCCUACCAAGGCGACGAUCCGUAACUGGUCUGAGAGGAUGAUCAGUCACACUGGAACUGAGACACGGUCCAGACUCCUACGGGAGGCAGCAGUGGGGAAUAUUGGACAAUGGGCGAAAGCCUGAUCCAGCAAUGCCGCGUGUGUGAAGAAGGUCUUCGGAUUGUAAAGCACUUUAAGUUGGGAGGAAGGGCAGUAAGUUAAUACCUUGCUGUUUUGACGUUACCAACAGAAUAAGCACCGGCUAACUUCGUG
rnacentral:rRNA from 1 species